ensembl:lncRNA LINC00343 long intergenic non-protein coding RNA 343
AUUCUACAAAGAGGCUAUGGGAAAGAAACCUGGAAAGGUAGGGAGGUAUGGAUAUGGACAAGCUAUGCCAAGGAGCAGGGCUUUGUCAUGGAGAGUGACUAGGUGCUUUUACAUAGGAAAGUCACCUGAUAAUAUUAAAACCUGUGAAAUAUCACUCUGGUGGAAGUGUGAAUGAAUUUGAAAGGGGUGUAACACUGUUCUACUUUGUUUACUCCUCAGUACCCUUGGCUGUGUACAUUUGAGUAAAGAGAGCACUAUAAAAUCAAAAACCAAUGAAAUGGUUUCCAGAACACAGAACUAUUAAGCUUAAGAAAAGGACAGAAGGAACUGAAGAGAGAGGAACUGUUUUGGAGCAUCACACUUCCACCUCAGAAGAAAUAAGGAAGGAAGGAGGAGGGUGUUCCCACGGCUCUUCAACCAGGCCGGCUCUUCAGCCUACAUCCCCAUCUCAUCAAGUAAAAGGGAUUUUUCAACUGGACCAACCAGAUGGUUUAACAGUGCACUCCCACACCAUUCAACUACGCAAGGGAGAUACACUUAACAUAUGCAGUCGUAUAACACCUACUAACAUUUUCAAACAUUAAACCUUUAAAAAAGAGUUCUAAAGAAAUAGAAGCUUGAAGUAUCAUCUCUCAAGUAUAUAGACACUACUUCAUGGUGUGGUAAUAUAUGCAUAUAGAAGCUAGUAAACACCUCCAGGAGAUGCAAAAGGAAUUAGAACUGCCACAAGGUGCAAGCAAAACCUUGAGUCUCCAUUGAUGGUGAAGUAUUUUCACUAUUUGGCAUGUCUUCUCUAGUACCUAGAGCAGUGCGUUGCAUGCAGUAGCAGGUUUAUAAACAUUUGCGAGUAAAACAUCCAACCUGAUACUCAAGAGUGAAUAUACCUUGGAAGACGUGUCCUGCCUUUAGUAGCGUCACAAUGGAUUACAUCCUCUAUAAAGCAGUCUGGGAGGCUAACAUCUGCCACAAGACAAAUAUGGUGCCUGCCCCCAUGGAGCUCAUAUUCGAAUGGAGAAAAUGUCAACAAGUAUCCCACGGAGUGAACACUUCAAAAGGAGAAGCACAGGUGAGAAAAUCGAAUUUGGACACCGUUGAGGAGACUAUUGCAGUCAUCCAAGCUCAAGAUGGUGGAGCUUCAUCCUUGAGAAUAACCAAUGGGGAUAGAUUUAAGAGACACUUAGAGUCUGCAGCCAACAGGGCUGAAUGAGCAGAGAGUUAUGAUUCAGAAGAUCAUCUAAAAUUGAACAGCUGCCACUACUGGCAAUAAGUCUACUGCCAUUUGGUAGAUAACCUUCUUAUCACACAGAAAAAUAUCAGUACAGACAAAUAGACCGCAAAGAAAAUGAGACCAUCAGCAAAGAAGAUAAAGAAGUUUGUACAAAGCAACUUUUUAUAAAUGGAUGGCUGUCAGGCAAAAAUAAAUUUCCUGUGGACAAGACCAAGAGCAAGGCAAGAGGAAAAUAAACAUGUUUAAAC